GGACCCGGGAGCGCGCUCCCGUACCUGAGCCCGGCAGCGAGGGAGGGCCGGAGGCUCGCGGCCGUGGCAACGGGCAGCCUCUUCGCGAGAUCUUGGACCAAAGGAUCGUGAGGAAUUACCUACAGCUGACGGUGAUAAAUGAAAAUGGCAUGUUUUGUGAAAUUCUUGGACACUUCGUAUAGUAUCAGCUCUAGGCAAAAUGGGAAGGGUUGUUGUUGCACACUGUGAGAGGGAGUGAAGAUUGUCAUUAACUCUACAAGCACUGUACAUUGCUGAGCAAGAUAAUAAGAAGUCUAUUUAUAAUACCAGUGGAAAUAUGAUUGUAUGAGAUUUGCUUACCUGUUUUAUUCCUUGCAGUACUGUGGUCUUUUAAAAUCUCCUUUCUAAUAGAUCACAACUUCAUGAAGUUAUGUUGUCAAUUCUGUGUUGAAGGACAGAAGCUUGAUUUAGGCAGAGCUAUGGUCAUGUCUUUCUUUAAAAAUACCUGAGCUGUCUGGAAAAUGCCUGCAAUGAAGUCUUGCAGGAAGAUGCUUUUCUACUUCAGAUCAAGUGAUACUGACCCCCACCCUGGCAUCCAUCUCCUUGGUGGGAAGCGCUCCUCAGCUCCAUUAGAGUCCCUGUACUAAGGAAAAAAAAAGCUGGUGCUUUUUCUCAUUUUAAGUAACACAUUACUGAACAUAGAUGUACUUACAUUCAGCGAUGCACUUGGCAUUUCAUGAAUGAACACCCACGAAACUCUGAUACUGCAAUUACAUCAUUUUAUGCUGCAUUCCACUUAUGCUGGUGUUAUUCAAAGACCUUAUCACAUCUUCUCAGUUUGCUUUCUCUCAACAGCUCAGACUCACGUAUUGUCUAGUGUUGGGUUUUUCAAAGACAAAUGAGCAAUAUUGGAUUCUGUAGCUUACGAUUAGGGAAGCUUCUGGCUCUCUUUAAGGUCCUGAUGCAUGUUCCUCUAGCCACUUUAACCUACAGCCCUAAGCAUCUCCAAGCUCCCUCUGUGCACUAGAUAGAAGGACUCUGCCCUGUGCUUCUCUCCAAAUGCAGUAAUUAAACAUGGUCUGUUUCAUAGUUUCUUCAGUGACUUAAAGACCUUCAAAAUCUGACUGUUAUAUUGUUUGCUCCUCAAAUGUGUGUCUCAAUUCUCCAUCAGUAGAGUGGUGAAAAGAUCAAAUUUUGUAUCUCCAAGGUAGAGUGUGUGAAAAAAAGGAAUUUUGGCACCUCAGAAAUGGAUAAGGGAUUUUUAUAAAGCAUUUGGCAGUAGUGCAUGAAGAGCUGGAUAAACACUGGGCAGUAAUUCAUAAACUUUUGGUUUAAAAUCUCUUGCUGUAUGUAACAAUGGAUAAUUGUCAUCCAGGAGGGCUGUUGUUUCCAUGAGAGUCCCACAGAGCAGUUUGUGGUUACUGGCUAAUGGCUGUGUCCUGGAAAGCAGAAAUUAAAGGAUUGAUUACAUUGGA